UCCCGCAACGAGCGCAACCCUUAUUGCUAGUUACCAUCAUUAAGUUGGGGGACUCUAGCGAGACUGCCAGUGAUAAACUGGAGGAAGGUGGGGGAUGACGUCAAAUCAUCAUGCCCCUUAUGACCUGGGCUACAAACGUGAUACAAUGGCUGAAACAAAGGGCAGCGAAGGAGCGAUCUGGAGCGAAACCCAAAAAAGCAGUCUCAGUUCGGAUUGAAGUCUGCAACUCGACUUCAUGAAGUCGGAAUCGCUAGUAAUCGCGGAUCAGAACGCCGCGGUGAAUACGUUCUCGGGUUU
rnacentral:rRNA from 1 species